rnacentral:sRNA from 1 species
UCGGCUCGAGCGUCAGCGAGAGAGCGUUGCCGCAGGCAACGACCCGAAGGGCGAAGCGCGCAGCGCUGAGUAAUCCUUCCCCCACCACCA